CCAAUCACUGCUCAGUGCUGUCUGAGUCCAGCGCUCUCUUUUUAAAUCCCCCUCUCUGUGGUGAAUCUGCACUCGCAGCGCAGCCCUCCGGUGAUACAGCAAGUGGUAGAGAAGUCUGCUGAAACAGCCUACACAUUUUCCGGCUGUGAGUGGGGCCUUCAUGGAUUCCCCGUACAAUGGCAACACGUCCCUCCAGACCUCCACCUCCAACCUCAACGCCAACUUCUCCCGGCCGACCGAGGCGGAAGAGGAGGGCAAGUACUCCAGCGAUGCCAUCUGGCUUUGGGUGGCCGUCAUUGCAACCAUCGGCAACAUAGUAGUGGUAGCAGUGGUUUGCGCCUGUGCCUUCUAAGACCCGUUAGUUGCAAGCACACAGCCGAAACAUCCCCCUUGCCCCGUCUUUCCUCCACUUGAACCUAUCCCCUGUAUUCAUUUUACUUUUGUAAGUGUCCAUCCAUAAUAUUAAAGCCAAGGCCCCAUUCUGAGGAUCAACGGAAUAUGAUAGUGUAAAUAUAGGGACUGGCUUAACUGAUGUUCUCUAGGACUAGGAAUGAGAGAAACAGUCCUCCAUAGUUACCAUACUGUAUCUUACCUUAAGCCUAUGUCUCACACUGUUAAAAAAAUGUAAUGAUGAGAAACGGUGAAGUGAGCAGAUGUGGGCUGUGCCUUUUUAUAAUGAACAUGGUAAAUUAGUUCAGGAAGUGGGCAAUAUAUAAAGCAGCUGAGUGAGCCUCCCUUCUGCUUACCCCCAGAGGUCAGCCUAAAGGAUUAUGGAAGUGUACAGCUAUGAGAUCCCCUCUGCCUGUGAACCUGAACAGAACACCACACCAUAUAUCUUUGUCUUGUUGAUGUCAUGUGACUGUUUGUCUGGAAUGGAUGUGUUGAUGCUGCUGUCUUGGUCCAGUUCUCUCUUGAAAAAUGUUUUUUUUUUUUAUCUCCACGAGCCUAACCUGGUUAAAUAAGGGUGAAAUAAAUAAUCUGCAGUUCUCGUUGUGGCUGGCCAUCGUCUCGGAGACCAGUGGAGAGAUAUGUGACAGAUGGUGGCUGGUAGUGGGGCAGAGGGGACAGCGGAGGGGCCCAGGGCAGGCUUGGCAGUGCCCCCAGUACCUGGUGUUCUUUCAUGUGACUGCUGCACCGCUGCACUACCAUUACUGCUCUGUCCUGUCCUCAUCAGCCUGUCAGUGAUAGAAAUCUCCCCAAGCACUUUAUAAAGUGCAAUAAAGUGGGGAGUUUUCUUCCAUUUUAACUGCAUUGUUCUGCAGUGGCUGUAGACCUGUGCCAGUUUUAACUAUGCAGUGAAGGCAUCCUAUUGGGCACACACUGGUUGAAUCAAUGUUGUUUCCACGUCAUUUCAAUGAAACGACGUUGAACCAACAUGGAAUAGAUGUCGAAUUGCCGUCAGUGGGAUGGCAGUGGCUCAUGUUUAUGAGUGAGACAAAUGUAUAGAAACACAGUAUAACCCACAAGCCAAAUUAGUGAAUUAAGUUGUCAGCACUGACAUUAUCUGAAGUUACGGAACCACCAAUUACAUCGCACUAAAUCAUUGAGCCGCCCACCAUUACCAGACCACUGCUACAACAGCCUCAAUCUGUAGAGCUAGCAGUCAAAUGAGUUCUCUCGUCAUAAGAAACCCCAUUGCUGUUAACGCUCAUUUUUUAGUUGCUGUGCCAGGCAGUCAGAAUCUCAUAUUCGCCUCAGAAUGUCUCUCAGUAGACUAGUGUGUGUAGGUGGCAGCAGCCCCAGUAGUUCUGUGCUGUGCUGUCUCCCAUGCACCCAGUGGAGUCGGGCCACAGACUUGUCAAACAGCAGGGCUUUAAUGAGAUGUAAUGCCUCUCUCUCUCUCUUUCCUAAAGCGAACACUGACCUCCCGUUGCGCUGUGGUGAUCAGAACAGAGCUGAUCCCUGCUGCACUCAGCUGCUCUGAACAAAGAUAGUGCUUCAAGUGCAUUUUUAGAGUGUGACUUCCUCAUUUAAUCAGCACUCGUUGACAGAGAGAAAGGGGAAGGAGAGAGGAGCGGACGAGAGGAGUGGCUGCAUGGGAAUUAAUUUAACAGCCAACUUCCAUGUCAUCUCUUUGAAAUACAAAACUUUUUUUGAAGUUGAAUGGAGAAUUCCAUUAUUUUUAUUGAAACCAACGAAGUGGAAUAAAAAGUUUGAAAAUGGAGAGAUUUAGGAUCAAAGGCCUGGCUGAGCCAUCACUUCACACAGCUAAUUGCCCUGAUCUCACUGAACAGUAGAGUUAAUGAAAACAAGAGACCGAUUCAUCAUGGCAUCUCUGAGCGGUCCUUUUCAGGGUCCUUAGAGACCUUAGCCAGAAACAUGCGGGAACAUUAAUCUGUUGUCUGUUAAAAUAAACAACAACAAUCGCACUGAAUGGGGUCUUCAUAAGUAACUGCUGUCAAUAACUCAAGAUGACGCUAACAAGUUAGAAUUACACAUCCCCACUAUAUGUAGUUACUUUAAUACUGUAACUAUUCUGAAGCCAAAUUCAUAUGGACUAGGUGAGGAAUCCCAGUUAGCUAUAAUAGGAAUUUCUUCUACCCUUGUGUCGGCUGUGUGCUUUGACAUGGGACUGGUUAAGGCUCAGGUGCCCACUGUCUACGGCUCGAAUUAUGUGCCUGAACUGACUAACACAACUCCUACCCGUCAACUGCUUAUUGACCAUGGACGCCCCUUGACCACCAUGGAUGAUGGUCCUCCUACACACCACAAAAGGUCAUCACAGCCUCAAGUCCAGGUACCGUGUGAACCAGUUUGCAAUGUCACUUAGGCGCGCGGUUCACCCGACACAGGUUAAUAAGGCUAAUCCUGGACAAAAAUAAAUCAAUUAUAUGGAGAUUCUCUAUUGAGCGUGCUGUGUUAUUCCAGGACUAGGCUUAAUCUGUGUCCGAGAAACUACCCCUUACUGUUUAAGAUUUGUUUUUAAUUACCGCCUCCAUGUAAAAAAGUGAAUUGUUACGCUAUACAUUAUGCAUCUGCCUGUUAAAGGGAAUAGUUUUUUUUUAGUAUUGGGUAACUUGGAGUGAUGCUUCAUUCAUAAUCAUAUUUGUUUAAUGUACCGUGUUUCUUUAUUUCUAUAGGUCAACAUUACUUCAGUCUUACUAAGUCUACACUACAUAUUGAGUUGAAACAUUCCAUUUAAGCAUGUCAUUUCCUUAUUUGUUCUAAUGGACGAGUCUCUUCACUGUGUUAACUAGCGUAUGGUAUGAUAAAUGUCGCAUUUAUAUAGAAGUACUACUAUGGCAAUACUCAUGGAGACCCUGCCAGUUACAGCUGUUUAUUGGGGGAGACGUGGCCAUGGAGUGCUCCCUCCACCAACAGAUGCAUUUCACCACGUUUGACUUCCUCCCUCCCUAGGCCCAGAGGGGACUGAAGUCUGCUUAAUCACACCCCAUAGAGCAUUCCAUCCUCCUUCUCCUUUCCCCUAUGUUCUCUCUCCUUCCAUCCAUGCAGAGCACCAGACCGUGCUUUCUGCAUUGGCACUGGCCUCUGACCCGAGGCAGGGCACCUCAUGCCCACAUGCCUCUUCCUUCCCAGGCAACAAGAAAUAGUCCGGUCGUUGCUGGGUGAAAUGGACAAGUCACUCCUACGAGAGGAGAACUGUAAGAGCAAGGAGCAGCUGGGUAUAUAAGCGAACACACACACACACACACACACACACACAAUGUAAAUGUACCUUUCUAUAACAUGGUUGUGAUGACAAUGCUAUGAUGUCAUUAUGUGCUCUCAGGGUUUGCAUUUUGUUCUUAUCUUUCAAUACAUUGUAAAUGUUUUACACCAUUUUCUCAUCAUAGUUAUAGUUAGCAAAUUAUAACAUUUAUAGGGGCCAUUUAAUGUUGAGCUAGAUUAGGCAAGCUUCAAUUUUGGAUUCUGUUCAGUCUAUCGCUUCAUCUAUUCAGUCUGUAUCGGUGAAACAUUACAGAUUGUGUGAUAGAAAUGUAAAGGUAAUUGAGCUGACAUAAUGUAGAGUUUACCAAGAAUGCAGUCUCCACUAACGUGGUAACAUUGCCUUUACAUGUCAAUCCCGAUGUAACUCUGCACUUCUGCAAUAAAGAUUGAAUAGAGCCCUGAGGCUAAUAUUCGAUCCAAUUAUACUAGUUAUAAUUUAGCUUGAAUUAAUAAGCACUGUAUUGCUGAAUGUCAUACUGUAGUUAUUCACUCACACUCAAACAUGCUGAGGUAUAGCCCUAGACUUUUGUGUAAAUAUGCUCCCCCAAACUAACUUGGGAGCUCUAUAAUUCAUAAGAAUCCUAACAAUUUGUAAAUAUUUAAACGCUUUUGAAUCCCAACAUUUCAUAUAUCACGAUAUACCCAUGUAUAAAUUGACCAAUGACCUAGCGGGGUAAUGAAAAUAUAGUCAGACUUCAGUGGGUGUUUCUAUAUGUUGUUGUCACGGGAACACCCAUCCAUAGAUCACCUCACUUUUUGUGGUGUUCUCUGGCUCUGGGUCCUCGUCAGACGCUAAGCAUCCCAGCUCUCUUCCUCUGCAGAGUGUUGCAUUACCCAACAAGGCUUUGCUGCAUGUUUGUUAAGUCGGAGAUAUGAGAACGCUUCUUGACUUUAAUGCUGCCGGACAUCAUGUCCCUUCCCUGCUGAUUCACAGCGGCUCCCCUAACCCGAUGGCUCGUUUGUGUUUGUCUCUGCAGACUCCCAGGAAUUUUCCAUCCUUCCUCGGCCUCCAGGAAUAUAUAUGCUAAUUAAAGCUGACUUCCUAUAUCCUGAGUACAGCAGAGACAGUAUGGUUGACUAGGGACUGUGACUUUAUAAAAGCACCCAGAGGAAACCCAUAAAGACUACAUGGAGGCUGGGGGGAAUAUUGUGUAUAGGUGGGACUUGAGAGGUGACAGUAACAGACAUCAUAUUUAUAACUUCAACAAAUGAUACCAUAUCUUAUUCAAGGUUACUUGUAGUUAACUUGAUUUGGAAUGUGCUGUGACCCAUGACACUCAAAGGACCUAGAAAGUGAAACCACGCUAUGUCCAUCCUCCUGGAGCCCUGUAUGUCUUUGUUUUGAAAUGGAUUUCUGACAGCGAUUCACAUACUCGUUGCAAUGAAUGGAUGGAUAUUCAUCGACUUCCUUGACUCUGAAGACUUGGAUUCUACAUUUCUGUGCAUCCAGUUGCAGUGUUGUACAUUCUGAUACCUCCCUGUAGGUGUCAGGGUUACUGCUAUGAAAUACUGAUUGACAGAAAGGCUGUUGGCUAAAUACAGGAGCUGUAUUAGUUCAAUUAAUUCACAAUGUUAAUUCACAAAAGCGUCCUAUAACAAUUACUUCAUACAAAAUACUGCACAGAGUCAUGUCACUGCAAUUGUUUUAAAUUACAUUUCUAGAGGGGAGGGGAACACCUUACUAUCUUGACUUUCCAUAAAUGUAUGACCUACUUUGAAAAGAUAUCUAAAAAAAAAACAGGAAAUCUAACAUGUGGGGGUUUUCUUUUAAUUUCAGUAUGUGUAUAAGCAUGAUUGAAGUGUACAGGUAUAAACACUAGGGGGGGUUAUUGACACCAUUUAUAUUUUUAACAUGAUAUUUGAGGCUCAUUAAUAUUUUGUUCCCAUGCUAGAUUAACCAAAACAUGCGCACACACGCAUUGUGAAACGUGGCUCGCAUUACAGGAGCCAAGGAUUCAAUACGUGUACUGUAUAAGGAUAAUGGAUGUGUACACGUCAGUAAAUUAGACCAGCUCUGUUGUUCAUUUGCUCCUCACUACCAGUAGUCCCAACAUCCAAGCCGCGUGUGCAUGCUCAUUGCAAAGACGUCUUAAUAUGGAAAACACUUAGACGCAGCUGGUGCGAGACCACAUGACAGUUCGAACCAGGAUCAUUUUCUUGUCUUUUCGAAUUUCUAUUGUGAUAUUUUGAUUUAGUAUGAGCUUACUGAGCUUGCUUGCAUGUAUUGGGUUUACUUCUGUCCCGACAUAUUGUUAGUCGACAACUCUGCAAGCUGCGUUCCCGUAAGGAAUAAAUCAUGUAAUAAUCAUGACAUUAUGGAAUAUUGAUUGGAGGAUUCAUUACUUGGUACAUGGAGAAAUAUGUAGAACUAAUGUGGAAUAUUUUUUUGUCAACCUUUUAUUGAUCAUGUACAUAUUUCCAAUGUUUUAGCAAUUGUCAGUGCAGAAACAUCGCUGCCAAAGUCUUGAUGUAUUUUUUUUUUUACACACUCUUGCAAGUGAACAGAAAAGCUUAGAAGUAAACAUGUUUUUACCUACAUAAUAAAAUCUAUGUUGUCUGUUAACCUCAUGUUUUACCAUCCUGUUUAAUUCAAUUAAAGUGAUAAGAAUGUGAAAAUGA